AUUGAACGCUGGCGGAAUGCUUUACACAUGCAAGUCGAGCGGCAGCGCGGCCUUCGGGCUGGCGGCGAGCGGCGAACGGGUGAGUAAUGCAUCGGAACAUGCCCAGUCGUGGGGGAUAACACUUCGAAAGAAGUGCUAAUACCGCAUACGUCCUGAGGGGGAAAGCGGGGGAUCGCAAGACCUCGCGCGAUUGGAGUGGCCGAUGUCAGAUUAGCUAGUUGGUGGGGUAAAGGCCUACCAAGGCGACGAUCUGUAGCUGGUCUGAGAGGAUGAUCAGCCAACAGGGGGUUAGAAACGGGCCAGGCCCCCUAGGGGGGGCAGAGGGGGGGAAUUUUGGAAAAGGGGGGCAACCCUGAACCAGCCAGUCCGGGGGGGUGAAGAAGGCCUUCGGGUUGUAAAGCUUUUUGGGGAGGAACGAAACGGGGGGCUUUAAAAAAGCCCGCUAAGGAGGGUACCUAAAAAAGAAGCACCGCUUAAUUCCGG
rnacentral:rRNA from 1 species